UCGCUGGCGCGCGACAUACGGCCCUUCCUCUUAUUUCCUCCCGUUUCCUCCUUGCCCCAUCGCAUCAUGUUGGAUUCACGCCGUCGCGAACGGUCCAGCAGCCGCGCGAUCACGCGAGAUCUCAUUUAGACGCGACUCGCCCGGAACGGUCCCCGUUCCCCCGUUGCGAGUCGCGCGGAGAAUCUUUCGGGGGGGGUCCGAAGCGUCUGGUCGCGGCGAAUACUGUGCCAGUCGCGUGUCCGAGAGCGAUUCGCGGAGGAGAUUCUUAUCGACAGCGUUAUCGUGACGGGCCGUUCCACGUGAAAGGUGCACCCGAUGGUUCUUUCCCCCGCCGCGGAUUCCACUUCCGAAGACCAGACACUCCCUCUUCCUAUCCGAACAGCAGCGCGAGCGUAUGUUGCACGAUGAAUGUCAAUUAAUUGCGCUAUUAAUGAGGCAACGAGCUCGAGCAUCGAGACUAGGAAACGAUGGCCUCUGUCAUGAGUUCCGAAGACACAACUGACAAUGCGACGGCAGCAAAUUCCUCUGGCGUAAUUGUAAAACCGGAGAAUUGGGUCCAAUUUGAGGAAGAGACGGAUCCGAAGGAAGCUACCGAAAGAAAAGCCAAUAGUAGCACACCUGCUGUAAUAAAACCUGAAUCAGUUACUGUACAAGUCGAUAAAAUUAGUAAAAGUAUCGACCCGGCUGAUGUUAACGAUAAGAAAACCAAUGAGUAUAGAGGUGCUGUGAUAGCAACUGAAUCCGUCCAAAUUAAUCUAGAUAGAUCAGGUUUAAGUCGUUCCAUCACCUCCGAUACGCCGGAUCUUAAAUUACCGUCUGAUGUUCGAACGACGUCAGAAACCAAGAGUGCUUCUUUAAAAACCAUCGAUCUGAGAGACGUGUCAAAUGGCAGAAAUACAUCGAGCAAUGUUAUUAGCACGUCGAUUGGAAACAUCCGGCAAGGCUUUGCCAAUGGUGAUACUAUUGUUACUCUUCUACCAGUAAAUACUAAAUGGCCAUGGAUUACUCCAGCCAGAUUUAGACCAGAAUUGGUGCCGGAGGAAUUGAUGGCACAAGGAUUAACGCUUACAGUGGAAGAUUACGUUCAUAUAAUGGAAUUACUUGUGAACGAUGUACGCUUCAAUAUGUAUAAUAUAUGUUACAAGAGGAUUCUCGUUCUUUGGAUAUUCACCGCCUUCAUUGUACUGCUUGGUUUAUUGUUCUCUGGCGUGACUGGUCUUACAUUAUUUGGACUCGGUGUUAUGUGGUUAAUCCUGAACGCGGCCGCGAUAUUCUUCUGCAUGUUUAUCAAGAUAAAGCUCAAUCACAAUCUCGAGAAAUGUAUGGCUCAAGUUAACAAACAUUUAUUAAGGCAUAAAAUAUUAUUGGGAUUAGACGACAGAGGAAAAAUCUCCUGCCACAAAGUCAAUUUGUGUUUCAUAUAUUUUGAUACCACGGAUUGUGUUAAAAAACUGCAGGAAAUAAUAGAACGGGAAGAACGUGAAGGUAGAAUAAUCGGUGGCGAUGAUGCAAACGAAUUAAGCCGACAACGUGAAUUACAACAACGUAUGGACAUCGACGAUAGUGACAUUGUUAUACAAGGCAGCACCACUACAAGAAUUUCUCGUAAACAGCUGGACGGAAGAUGAUGAAUCUCAGUAUAUCAGUAUUGCCUCAUCCACAUAUCAUCAGCACAUAAUAAUAAUCUCUAAUGUUAUGUUAUCCACCAGGAUUGACGUGGUGUGCCUACCUUAAUGAUCCUGUAAGCCGAUUUGAUAUGGUACCAAGUUUAUCCCAUUAAAUAAUUUCUGCCUUUACAAAUCGAGUUGACACAAUACUGUUUCGUUCAAAUUUAA
rnacentral:misc_RNA from 1 species